rnacentral:lncRNA from 1 species
AGGCCUCCAUCCCUGGGAUUUGCUGGUAGAAGAAAGGGAAUCAGCGCUGACUGAGCUCCUACUAUGUGCCCUUCCUGGGCCUGGCACUGGAAUCACAGGAUGAAUGAAUAAGGCAUAUUUCCUGCCCUGAGGAGGCGUCUAUAGGGGAAGUCGGAAUUAAGGCACCUCCAGAAUUCUGAGGUCAAGGGAAUGUCAACAGAGCUGUGAACAAAAUGCCCAAAGCCAUGAAAAUCUACAGAGAGAGACUCGAAGGGGAGGAAUGGGGUAGGAGCUGGUGCCGAGGAUGAGAGGGGAGAAUUCACCUGGUGGAGAACUGAUAGGUGGGGGCUGUUUUCA